AUUGAACGCUGGCGGCAGGCCUAACACAUGCAAGUCGAACGAUUGGCGGACGGGUGAGUAAUGUCUGGGAAACUGCCUGAUGGAGGGGGAUAACUACUGGAAACGGUAGCUAAUACCGCAUACCAUCUGAUGUGCCCAGAAGGGAUUAGCUUGUUGGUGGGGUAACGGAUCACCAAGGCGACGAUCCCUAGCUUGUCUGAGAGUAUGACGAGCCACACUGGAACUGAGACACGGUCCAGACUCCUACGAGAGGGGGAAGUGAGGAAUAUUGCACAAGGGGCGCAAGCAAGAUGCAGCCAUGCCACGUGUAGGAAGAAGGCCUUCGGGUUGUAAAGUACGUUAAGCGGGGAGGCGUUACGCGCAGAAGAAGCACCGGCUAAAACCGUGCCAGCAGCCGCGGUGAUUC
rnacentral:rRNA from 1 species